GUAGGUCCCGAGCGUUGUCCGGAUUUAUUGGGCGUAAAGCGAGCGCAGGCGGUUAGAUAAGUCUGAAGUUAAAGGCUGUGGCUUAACCAUAGUACGCUUUGGAAGCUGUUUAACUUGAGUGCAAGAGGGGAGAGUGGAAUUCCAUGUGUAGCGGUGAAAUGCGUAGAUAUAUGGAGGAACACCGGUGGCGAAAGCGGCUCUCUGGCUUGUAACUGACGCUGAGGCUCGAAAGCGUGGGGAGCAAACAGGAUUAGAUACCCUGGUAGUCCACGCCGUAAACGAUGAGUGCUAGGUGUUAGACCCUUUCCGGGGUUUAGUGCCGUAGCUAACGCAUUAAGCACUCCGCCUGGGGAGUACGACCGCAAGGUUG
rnacentral:rRNA from 1 species